rnacentral:rRNA from 1 species
AGUGAACGCUGGCGGUAGGCCUAACACAUGCAAGUCGAACGGCAGCACAGUAAGAGCUUGCUCUUACGGGUGGCGAGUGGCGGACGGGUGAGGAAUACAUCGGAAUCUACUUUUUCGUGGGGGAUAACGUAGGUAAACUUACGCUAAUACCGCAUACGACCUACGGGUGAAAGCAGGGGAUCUUCGGACCUUGCGCGUUUGUAUGAGCCGAUGUCGGAUUAGCUAGUUGGCGGGGUAAAGGCCCACCAAGGCGACGAUCCGUAGCUGGUCUGAGAGGAUGAUCAGCCACACUGGAACUGAGACACGGUCCAGACUCCUACGGGAGGCAGCAGUGGGGAAUAUUGGACAAUGGGCGCAAGCCUGAUCCAGCCAGACCGCGUGGGUGAAGAAGGCCUUCGGGUUGUAAAGCCCUUUUGUUGGGAAAGAAAAGCAGCAGGUUAAUACCCCGCUGUUCUGACGGUACCCAAAGAAUAAGCACCGGCUAACUUCGUG